rnacentral:rRNA from 1 species
GAUGAACGCUGGCGGCGUGCCUAAUACAUGCAAGUCGAGCGAACAGACGAGGAGCUUGCUCCUCUGACGUUAGCGGCGGACGGGUGAGUAACACGUGGAUAACCUACCUAUAAUACUGGGAUAACUUCGGGAAACCGGAGCUAAUACCGGAUAAUAUAUUGAACCGCAUGGUUCAAUAGUGAAAGACGGUUUUGCUGUCACUUAUAGAUGGAUCCGCGCCGCAUUAUCUAGUUGGUAAGGUAACGGCUUACCAAGGCAACGAUGCGUAGCCGACCUGAGAGGGUGAUCGGCCACACUGGAACUGAGACACGGUCCAGACUCCUACGGGAGGCAGCAGUAGGGAAUCUUCCGCAAAGGGCGAAAGCCUGACGGAGCAACGCCGCGUGAGUGAUGAAGGUCUUCGGAUCGUAAAACUCUGUUAUUAGGGAAGAACAAAUGUGUAAGUAACUAUGCACGUCUUGACGGUACCUAAUCAGAAAGCCACGGCUAACUACGUG